rnacentral:lncRNA from 1 species
AUUAAUAUACCCCAGUAAGUCUUUAUUAUAUCAGGAAAAAAAUGCAUUUUUAUCAUGUUGUGAGAGUAUAACUUUUCUUUUUUCUUGCAGUGCCUAUACACAUACAAAGUUUUCAGCUAAUUGAGGCACUAUACUUUCUUUGUUCCUCUUCUGAUCCUGUUAUCCAAAGUGACCAGUGGGUUCUUAGAAGUGUUGCUCAGUUUAUCCUAAAGCAAUCCCAGUAAGGAUUUCAUGUCAUCCUACUGAGAUAUAUGAAGGUAUAUAAAAAAACUAAACGUGCCUUUUCUUUGAAAUGGAUGGAAAAGAUGGCUUCUUUCCUUUUGUGAAUUUGCUGCACUUUAUAACAAAGACUGUUCCUAUGGAGCUAGUGGCAUGGAGUUCAUCAGGAGAUGGAAGUCAGGACCCUUGCCAAUUUUCCUAUUUGAACAAUUGCUUUCACCAUAAAUGAAGACAAGAGUGAGUAUAUUACAAUUUUUCAUUAAAAAUUUCUAAAGCUUGUAUUCAGAAAAGUCAAAAUAUUUCACUUUGGGUUGAGUCAGUUUUAAUACGAAUUUAUCUGAGCUACUCAGGAGUCCUUAGGAAGCUGUGCUUCAAGUGCUGAGUAUCUCUGUUCACUCCGGCUUCCUAGCUGGACAAUGUUUUAUGUAUUUUAGGUUGGGCCAUGAUUUUAGCGUAAUGCACAGCCUCAGGGGAGACCAUGUGCUGCCAUGGGUCAGGUAGUCCCACACCCCAGCCUGGUCCAUAUGAAACAUCCUUGGUGUCACUGUCUUGGAUUAAACAGUGAAAAGCAAAUGAGUGGAUUAGAUUUUCAGAGGAGGUAGAAAAAUUCUUUUCAGAACACAAUCCAAAUAUGGGAAAAAUGCUGUCUUGGGAGAGAAAAAACAAAAAGAGAUUGGACUAGUAUGUGAUUGAAACACAAGUGCAAAGCAGUAACUGAAGUUGUUGGAGAAAACUUCUACAUGUUCAGAAGAUCCACAACAUGCCUCUGCAGAGCCCAUCCCUGUUUUACAUGGGCUGGACCCCAAGGAUGAGGAUUUACCCUCUAGUCCCCACCUCUUUUAGCUGCUGAUUUGGAUUGUAUGAAUGGAAGCUUACUUUUGUGUGAAGCAACACUGGUGGUGCUUCAAGGCUGCAUUAUUCAGUGAGCCUGGUAUGUCAGUGGGAAAAUGAACCAGUUUCUGUAAACCAGGAAAAAUAAAGCACUUAGAAAAUCACUCUGUGAAAUCUGG